rnacentral:rRNA from 1 species
UACGUAGGGUGCGAGCGUUGUCCGGAAUUAUUGGGCGUAAAGGGCUCGUAGGCGGUUUGUCGCGUCGGGAGUGAAAACAUCGGGCUUAACUCGAUGCUUGCUUUCGAUACGGGCAGACUUGAGGUAUGCAGGGGAGAAUGGAAUUCCUGGUGUAGCGGUGAAAUGCGCAGAUAUCAGGAGGAACACCAACGGCGAAGGCAGCUCGCUGGGACGGUACUGACGCUGAGACGCGAAAGCGUGGGGAGCGAACAGG